rnacentral:lncRNA from 1 species
GCUGGAUCCAUUAGGGGAGUGAACUGGCAAGACUGUUGAAACUGGUGUGGAUGUGCUCAAGCAUGCCAUCUGAGACUCCAAGACUUAAGCUGCAUAAAAGAAUGAGAUUUCUUUGACACGAUCACUAUUCUGUUUACUCCCUACAGAAGAAAAUGCUUUUUGAUGAAGGAAAUGUUGAAAGGCAGAACAAAGACCCAUAUCUCUUGAUUGUUAUGGGUGAACAGGAUUAGUAGAUAAACAUCAGCCUUUACUCGUUUGAUGAAAGAAGGUGAAGUGCACUGUUCGUUACUUAAUAAAGCCCAAUAGACUUUUUCAAGAAGUUUUCAAGGCUGUUUCCCAAGGAGCUGUAAGUCCUCCAGAACAGACAGAGACAUAUUCCUUAUUAAAUAAGAUACAAGACCCAGAAAGAUUCACAUAUGCCUAGCUCCUUGGAGAGGAUGAAAUAAGAAUAAGCUCUUUAAAAUCUAUUCAUUUCUCCUGGGUGAUCGGAUUCCUAGAAUGGAGUAUAAAUGAAAUUGCAGCUGGGUGUUCAGAACCUGAACCAUUUUAUACAUUUUCAAAAGCUGCUCAGCUGCCUGCUGCUGAGGCAAGCUUGAUUUUAUUCAGUCUGUGCAUGGGCUUGGAGCUCUGGGAAGGAAAUCUUUGGAAGCCUGCCUCACUCAACAAAAAUAAGGUGCCACCACAAAGGUCUAGCCUUUACUGUUGUACAUGUUAG